rnacentral:rRNA from 1 species
UACGGAGGGUGCGAGCGUUGUCCGGAAUCACUGGGCGUAAAGGGUGCGUAGGCGGCAGGCCAAGCGUGCGGUGAAAGUCCGGGGCUCAACCCCGGAUCUGCCGUGCGGACUGGUUUGCUAGAGCACUGUAGAGGCGAGUGGAAUUCCGGGUGUAGCGGUGGAAUGCGUAGAGAUCCGGAAGAACACCGGUGGCGAAGGCGGCUCGCUGGGCAGUGGCUGACGCUGAGGCGCGACAGCGUGGGGAGCAAACAGG